UAGUCCACGCCCUAAACGAUGUUUACUCGAUGUUUGACUCGUAGAUUUGAGCAUCCAAGCGAAAGCGUUAAGUAAACCACCUGGGGAGUACGUUCGCAAGAAUGAAACUCAAAGGAAUUGACGGGGGUCCGCACAAGCGGUGGAGCGUGUGGUUUAAUUCGAUGAUACGCGAGGAACCUUACCUAGGCUAUAAUGUGAUUGACCGCUGGUGAAAGCCAGUUUUCCUUCGGGACAAGAAACAGGUGCUGCAUGGUUGUCGUCAGCUCGUGCCGUGAGGUGUUGGCUUAAGUGCCGCAACGAGCGCAACCCCUAUUCGUUAGUUGCCAUCAUUAAGUUGGGGACUCUAGCAAGACUGCCGGCGUAAGCCGCGAGGAAGGUGGGGACGACGUCAAAUCAUCAUGGCCUUUAUGCCUAGGGCUACACACGUGCUACAAUGGCAGGUACAGAGGGUUGCGAAGGGGUGACCUGGAGCGUAAUCUCAGAAAGCCUGUCCCAGUUCGGAUUGGAGU
rnacentral:rRNA from 1 species